AUGAACGCUGGCGGCGUGCCUAAUACCUGCAAGUCGAGCGAACAGACGAGGAGCUUGCUCCUCUGACGUUAGCGGCGGACGGGUGAGUAACACGUGGAUAACCUACCUAUAAGACUGGGAUAACUUCGGGAAACCGGAGCUAAUACCGGAUAAUAUAUUGAACCGCAUGGUUCAAUAGUGAAAGACGGUUUUGCUGUCACUUAUAGAUGGAUCCGCGCCGCAUUAGCUAGUUGGUAAGGUAACGGCUUACCAAGGCAACGAUGCGUAGCCGACCUGAGAGGGUGAUCGGCCACACUGGAACUGAGACACGUUCCAGACUCCUACGGGAGGCAGCAGUAGGGAAUCUUCCGCAAGGGGCGAAAGCCUGACGGAGCAACGCGGCGUGAGUGAUGAAGGUCUUCGGAUCGUAAAACUCUUUUAUUAGGGAAAAACAAAUGUGUAAGUAACUAUGCACGUCUUGACGGUACCUAAUCAGAAAGCCACGGCUAACUACGU
rnacentral:rRNA from 1 species